AGUGAACGCUGGCGGUAGGCCUAACACAUGCAAGUCGAACGGCAGCACAGUAAGAGCUUGCUCUUACGGGUGGCGAGUGGCGGACGGGUGAGGAAUACAUCGGAAUCUACUUUUUCGUGGGGGAUAACGUAGGGAAACUUACGCUAAUACCGCAUACGACCUACGGGUGAAAGCAGGGGAUCUUCGGACCUUGCGCGAUUGAAUGAGCCGAUGUCGGAUUAGCUAGUUGGCGGGGUAAAGGCCCACCAAGGCGACGAUCCGUAGCUGGUCUGAGAGGAUGGUCAGCGACACUGGAACUGAGACACGGUCCAGACUCCUACGGGAGGCAGCAGUGGGGAAUAUUGGACAAUGGGCGCAAGCCUGAUCCAGCCAGACCGCGUGGGUGAAGAAGGCCUUCGGGUUGUAAAGCCCUUUUGUUGGGAAAGAAAAGCAGCAGGUUAAUACCCCGCUGUUCUGACGGUACCCAAAGAAUAAGCACCGGCUAACUUCGUG
rnacentral:rRNA from 1 species